UACGAAGGGGGCUAGCGUUGCUCGGAAUCACUGGGCGUAAAGGGUGCGUAGGCGGGUUUUUAAGUCAGGGGUGAAAUCCUGGAGCUCAACUCCAGAACUGCCUUUGAUACUGAAAAUCUUGAGUUCGGGAGAGGUGAGUGGAACUGCGAGUGUAGAGGUGAAAUUCGUAGAUAUUCGCAAAGAACACCAGUGGCGAAGGCGGCUCACUGGCCCGAUACUGACGCUGAGGCACGAAAGCGUGGGGAGCAAACAGG
rnacentral:rRNA from 1 species